rnacentral:lncRNA from 1 species
AUAAACUUCCCUUCCAGUGAGGACGGAGCUCCGAAGCACGCUCUCAGCUCAGGCCCCUGCACUCAGUUGGCCUCCAGCAGGACUCAGCCAUCCCCCUCCACACAAAGCUGGCAGCACCCUGCGCUCAUCGCAUGGCCAAAAUGGGCACACGUGGCUCAGGGAGGAAGAGGAUUUCAAGGAAAGAUGGGGCUGAGAGCAACGUGUGCUGCUGAGAUGAAAGCCACCAGGAAAGCACAGCAGAGAUGGUCAGCAGCCCCAACCCUGGGACCCCAUCCUGGUAACCCCCAGAACGGCCCCACUGCUCCUGCAGCCCAGCUCUGAGCUCAGCAUCUCCACGCCGGGAGCAGACAGCCCCCAGAUGGCUCCAGCAGCAGCAGCUGCCCGGCGACCGGCCGAAGGCUUCAUCAACUGGCACCCAAAAGUCAAUCAGGAAGAUGCUGCCUGUUUUAAUGAACAGAGAAAAUUCGCACAGAGAUGAUGUGUGCCGGGGGGAGGAGGGAGGCUGGAGACAAAACAUGACCUUGUUGGUGGAGGCAC